GACGAACGCUGGCGGCGUGCCUAAUACAUGCAAGUUGAGCGCUGAAGGUUGGUACUUGUCCCGACUGGAUGAGCAGCGAACGGGUGAGUAACGCGUGGGGAAUCUGCCUUUGAGCGGGGGACAACAUUUGGAAACGAAUGCUAAUACCGCAUAAAAACUUUAAACACAAGCUUUAAGUUUGAAAGAUGCAAUUGCAUCACUCAAAGAUGAUCCCGCGUUGUAUUAGCUAGUUGGUGAGGUAAAGGCUCACCAAGGCGAUGAUACAUAGCCGACCUGAGAGGGUGAUCGGCCACAUUGGGACUGAGACACGGCCCAAACUCCUACGGGAGGCAGCAGUAGGGAAUCUUCGGCAAUGGACGAAAGUCUGACCGAGCAACGCCGCGUGAGUGAAGAAGGUUUUCGGAUCGUAAAACUCUGUUGGUAGAGAAGAACGUUGGUGAGAGUGGAAAGCUCAUCAAGUGACGGUAACUACCCAGAAAGGGACGGCUAACUACGU
rnacentral:rRNA from 1 species